ACUAAGCCAACAGUAAACGGAAAAUAAUGAAUGGAGCUCUAUUCAUGAAAAAAAUUCUUCACAACGCUGUUUUGGAUGGAGAGGAAUCCAUGAAACUGUGAGACUUUGCCUCAUGCAAAGCCAUCUUCUGAGCUAAGCUGCCAGAGGGUGCCAGGGAAUGAUCAAUGAUCAAGGCUGAAGGCAAGCUAUCCAGUAGAUCACAUAGAUGUGUCUGUUCCUAAAAUGGCAUAGUAUGCAACAUGGAGAUAUUCUGAUAAAGCUUUUCCCGCAGGAUCUGCUUCUUGGUGCAUUACGAACUACAGGAUAUGUCUGAAAUGGAGAAAGCAUUUUCGUCUCAGAGGAACUGUGGGGCUCAGGAAUGUUUGACUUUGAUAACCCCACCAUAAAGCACUGCCUUUGCUAUGAGGUACUCAGUGUCAUCACUCAAAAUCUUGGCCAAUUGUA
rnacentral:lncRNA from 1 species